rnacentral:lncRNA from 1 species
CAAGUCCUUCACCUUAAAAUCAAGAUUUUCCUUAUUCACAUCAGUCUAAAAACUGAGACUUUCUCUUCUUCCAAUUUGGCCCCUCUGUUUCUCUCUGAGAUUUGGGGCUUUUCAAGAAUUCAAAAUUGGAAUUCUUGAAGCCUCUAUUGAUAGCCGUUGAGCACGUCAAUUUGGCUAUAAAAGAGCCCUUUUGGACUCUCAUUUCUUUCAGCAGCAAGAAAAAGAAGCAAGAAGCAGGAAUCAUUAAAAAGAGGUUAUUAAAUUAGCGCAAACAAGUUCAUACUACUACUUCGGCUAUUUUCUGCCUUCUUUCCGAGUUCGAGCGCAAGUCCUAGUUCGGAUUCUCGAUGAGGACGCCCCUAGUUCGCAGCUCCGAAAAAGGUGCGAACCCGUCCUCUUUCAUUUUAUUUUCUUUUUCUUUUCCUUUCCUUCAUCUAUUUUGAUUCUACGAGCAUGGGACACCUUGAUUUGAGUUUGUGUUGUUGUUGCUGUUUUUGGUCUUGUGGAUAAAAUUGUAAUUUUGAUUCCAAAAAAUGUUUUGUGUGAGAACAUGUGGUUAUGUGGAUAUGUGUGUAUAGGUGUUGGUCGUUCCUAGUUUUAUGUUUCUUUCAUUUUUCAUGUUUCGAUGCGUUUGGAAUUGGUUUUGUGAACACCUAUAAGAGCAAAUCCUUUCCCGUCUUAAUUACGUUACACUUAGUUUUGUUAAUUGUUUAUCGGUGGUUAGUUGGGAUGAUAGCCGACUGGUUUUGGAUAUACAGAUGUGAAAAAAAUCAUUUUAUUAUUUCGGGAUUAUGUGUGCUUGCGACUUGCGAUUUAACUGAGUAAAUUCUAUGAAUUUUUAAGUAUUUUUUAGUGUGAUUGGCUGCCUAUUUUGGGAUAAUCGUAAUGUCGGUUGGGGUGUUUGCACAUCACAGUAGCUGUUUUAGCUCUUUCUAUACUUGUCCAUUUGUUUACAAGGUUUCGGCAACCUUAAUUUAGCAUGAUCAAGGCUCUAAAAGGCUUGGGAACUAAAGCGUAUCCAUUUUAUUUAUUAUGUCAUCUAUGUGUUGUUCUAUUAGCUCGAAAUAAGCUCCAUGAUGUUCGAAAUUUUUUUAGUACAGUUAGCUAAAACUUUCUUGAUAAUUUACUGCCCUCGUCUUAACUUAGUAGUUGCAUGAUUUCGUUGGAACCAAGGCUUAUUGUUUGGUUUCUUGCUUGUUAAUAACUGUGUAUAUCAAUAUAUACAAAAUGCUACUUCGUUGAUCUCAUUCCUUUUCACGUCUGUAAGUUAGAAGUAGUAAACUGUAGGUUACUUCUAUUGUUUGCUGCCAUUCAAAGGGCUUUCCUUCUGUUUAAUCAUUUUCCUCCUAUAUUUAGUGUGAAUUAGAAAGCAUAUAGUACUCAGUGAUUAUGUGAAUGUUUUGGUUUCCUGGUGUGAUGCGGAUAUCUAGUGUUGUUUCUUCUGUAAAAAGAGAUACUCUCCAUGGCAUAAGUGUCUUUAUAUUAUUUAGUUAGUAAAUAUGUUUAAAUCCUCUCAACAGUACAUGUCUUAGGUUCUUUUUGGAUUAAAGUUUUCCUUGAAGCUUCUUCUUAGUAUGAUUCAUCCGGAUUUGCUUUAUGUUCUGUUGUUCAAUUUACGUAGUUCCUUAUUUGGUUAUAGAGAUUUGGUAGAUUAUGUCUUUAAGCCUUUUAUAUGCUUCAGUUUUACCUAUGUUGUAUUGUGAUAAUUCGGGAGUCAGGUUGAAAUGUAUUCUUUCCUAAAAUUGCUUUUGCUGAAAUUUGAAGCCUACUUAUUACUACUAUAGUUGGCAUCCUCCUUUUGUUUAUUUGUUCGCAAGCUACAACUCUUUGAAAGAAGCUAUUUUCAAUCGGUACAUAGAUCACUUUGGGGACUUUGAAUUAGUCGGUUGCAAGUCUUAGGUUAGCCAUCUAGUUAAAGAAAGAUUCUCAAUUUCUAACUUGGCACGAAAGGCCUUACAAGAGUGGUUAUCUGUAUGUUCUUGAGUUCACUGUUUUGCUCGGUUUCAUGAUAUGAAUAUGGAAGCAGCAACUUAAAUCUCAAUGUGUUCGAAUAAGUGGGUUCUGCACUACUGUAUGAACAUUUUCCAAUGCGAGUCUCUUGUGUGUAUGCACUUCAAUAUAGUGAAGAGUUCAAACCAUUCAAUAAGAAUAGGUUCCCCGGUAAUUGGUGCUAAGCUGAAAGGAAGGGAUGUUGAGUUGUAAAAUGAUCUUGUGUGUUUGUUUGGCUUGUCAGUUUUGUUUCAUGGACUAAAAGAAGGCUGGUCGGGUUAGUUGUUUUAUCCCAAGUCAUAUUUGUAACAGCUAAUUAGUGAGUAAAUAUGCCGUGUUCAUUUGAUUUGUGUAAGUAUCGAUAAUUUCUUUUACAGACUAUUUAUGAUGUCUUGGAUGAACUGCUCAUGGGAUACUUUCCUGUAAACCUCGUCAAUUGUAUUCGAACAAGUUAAUAUAAUGUAAGCAUGCUUAGAUUGGUUUGAAAGUAUCGAAUGGUUUCAAUGAGUUUUUUUUUUUUUUUUUUUGGUGUUUGGUUUCAUCGAAUGAAUUCUAAAAUUUUUGAACCAUCUUUAGAUCAUACUUUUUCUAAUGAAAAGUUUGUGCUAUUCACUAAGGCUGUUGGGUACUAUGUAAUUUUGAUGAUUGACAAACUGACACAUGAAUGAAACAUGUUACUUGAGUUGGUCCACGCAUAGGAAAGAACAUCUCCAGUUUCACUGAUAGAUGCAGACAAGAUUGCUUAAAGACAAGAACGAAUAAGCAAGUUUAAUUCUGAUAUACUCAAGCUACUCAUCAUAUGGGGAAUAUAACAAGUUGAAUUUGAUUCAAACAUUUAAUGAUAAGGGAAAGCAAUUUGAGUUGAAAAAUGAGUCCUACUUGAAGAAGGAGUUUCACUUCUGAGUAUAUCUUGAAGAGUCCUAUGUGUGGGAGGAGAAAAAUUCUGAUAAAUAAACAUAUGCUGAUUUAAAAGGGUUGAAGUUUUACUACAACACUAAGGAAACAAGAGUUGGAAUUAAAGAAAGAGUCUCACUUGAAGUAGAACUCUAUGCAAUGAGAGUUCUAAUUAAAGGAGGAGUUUGAAAUAAAGAAUGACUCUUUGAAGAGCUGUGCUUAAAUCGAAGAUGCAUUAGUCAGAAUAAGACACACACUUAAAAAGCAGAAAAGCACAAAUGACAGAUUGACUUUUCGAAGUGCUACUCAAUCACUGAAGAAACAUGUUGAAGAACCUGGUCCUCAGUACAGAAUUCAGCUAAGAGUUUUAGCUUUGAUUUUUAGAGUUGUUCAUUGUGUUUGAACUAUUGAUGUAAUAUUAGUUUCAGUGUGUUAUAAACAGAACUAGGAGCUAGUCUUCGAGUUGGGAAAACUCAGAGACUUUGGGAACGCAUACCUUGGGAGGUGUGUAUGUAGUUAGGAAUUGGAGUUUAUAAUUCCUAGUUGUUGAGUUAUAAGAAUUAGAGUUUAUAAUUCCUAUUUGUUGGUUACAAGAGUUUUGUAAUCAGUCAUUGUUGAGACUCAGAGUUAUUUACUAAAGUUGGGGUUAAAUCCCAUAAAGGUGCAGGUAGUGAUUUUUUUUACACCUUUUGAGUCGGGUGUUUUCCACGUAAAAAUCUACUGUGUUCUUUACUUUCUGUUUUACUGCUUUCGUGGAACACAUCAAGCAACCCGUUCCAUCAAUAGGCAACAGUUAGGAGAAAAUAAGAUAAUUAGUAGGGCACGAAUUCUUAACAAGUGGUAUCAAAGCGAGGUUGUCUUAAAAAGGGCUAGCACCUAAGACAAAGAUCAAUAUGAUGAAUUUCGCACCACCUACUGGUCACAGUGAAUGUCAAUCCACUAUUAAACCUCCACUCUUUGAUGGUUCUCACUUCAUUUGGUAGAAAGCUAGGAUGGAAACAUUCAUUCAAGGCGAAGACUACGAGUUAUGGGAUAGGAUCACUGAUGGUCCUACUAUUCCAAUGAAGCUAGAAGAUGGGAAACAGGUCAAGAAAGUAAGAAAUGAAUUCACUCCUAAUGACUUAUUGGCAUUAAAGAAAAAUGCUAAGGCCAAAAACAAUUUGGUCUGUGGAUUAGGACCUGCUGAAUACAACAGAGUAUCAACAUGCACCACUGCUAAGAAAAUUUGGGAUGCUCUAGUAAAUGCUCAUGAAGGUAUAUCUCAAGUAAGAAAAUUCAGAAUUUCUCUUCUCUUCACUGAGUAUGAGGCAUUUAAGAUGAAGGAGAAUGAAACCUUGUAUGAGAUGAUGACAAAGCUUAUUGCCUUAACAAAUGAGCUGACCUACUUAGGAAAAAUUAUCUCUAAAGAGUAACAAGUCGAGAAGGUACCGAGGUUAUUACCAGAAUCAAAGUGGAAUGUUAAGAUAACUAUAAUCAGGGAAGCAAAUAAGGAUCUUGCAGGCAUGACCCUGGAUGAAUUAGUAGGGAAUUUAAGAACUUAUGAAAUGGAAAUUGAUGGAACUAAAAUGGUAGCAGCUUGGGAAUUUGACUUAGAUGAUGAUGAAGUUGAUGAAGCAGCACUCAUGGCUCUUGGAGAUUCAAACUUGGAGGAAGAAGAUUAUGCUAAUGAGGUAAGUAUAUUUGAACUUAAAGAAAAGUUGCAUUUGUUUUCUAAAACAAAACUUAUUUCCUUGAUGAGUGCACUAAUGGAUGACUUCCAAGAAUCAACUUCUGAUAGGGAUGAGCUAUUCAACAGUCUUGCAAGAAUCAAAUUUAAUUUUAUUGAUUUAGAAGCUUGCAAGAACACUGUUGAAUAGGAAAACUGCUCUCUCAAGAAACGGUUGAGCAACUUUAUUCUUCAAAUAAUGAUCUUAAUUCUAAAGCUCUAAAAUUGACACUCUCUGAAAAAGGAAAAAACACCAAGAGUAAAGAACAAGAAAAAGUUAAAUUUGAAUUGGUCAAGUACAAAGAAGAGUGCAAGAACGCAACAAAAAUAGUGAAUAAACUAAGUCAAGAAGUCUCUAAACUAAAACUUGAACUUGAAAGAGCAAACAAGUGGACAAAUUCCUCAAGAAUUGUUCAUAAGUUGAGUGAAAGAUAUCACAGUGAAAAAGCUGGGUUGGGUUUUCAAAAAGUCUUGAUGUUUAUCAAGACUUGUGCUAUAUCUGUGGAAACCUUGGACAUCCAACCACUGAAUAUCCAGUUGCUGCCAAAAGCAGAUCCAACAGUCUAAAUUUGGAAAAUAAAUUAUCUCAGACCAAGAAAAGGAUAACUAAAACUAGUCAGAGAAACGGGUCACAUAACCUGUUGCUUGCAUGGGCUAGAAGAAAUUUGGUUCAUCCAUUUACUUAUAAGAAAGGACCCAAGCUUGUCCGGGUGCCUAAAGUUAACCCCUAAUUUGUUUUGCAGGUGAGAGUGAAAGGAGGUAAGCAAAAUUUGUGCAAAAAUAAAGCUUGCUCAAGGCAUAAUACUAGAAGAAAAUAAAGUUUCCUUCACUUACCACAUUUAAAGGGGGAAUGGAUCAUUUGAAAAAUAACCAGAUUUGUAGUGCUCGUGUAAGGGGGAAGCAAGGAAGAUUUUAUUUAAAAAAAAAUGAGAAAAGAGGAUGACUGUGAAACUGAUGAGCAUGCACAGGAACAUAUUGUACCACCUGGUUCAACUGUUGUACAGACUAAGGACAUAUUGAUAGGGGAACAAUAAAUAAAGAAAUGGAUGUAUCAAUAAAACCAACACAAGUUGCUGGUAAUUUUGUUAGUAGUUCAUAAAAAUUGAUGUUGUCAAAAGAAUCUUGAGAUAUCUCAUGGGAAUCAAUGGCUUCAGACUAUGGUUUCCAAAGGAAAGCAAUUUAACUCUUGAGGGCUAUAAAAAUAUUGACUAUGUAAGCACCAAAGGCACUAAGUAGAGAGCAUUUUGAAAGGAAUAUGUUAGACUUGAGGAUGAUUAAAAUUGCAUGAACUCCCCUCAAUAAUUGACUAGAAUAAUCAUUUUUUUCUUAAUCUUAUUAGUUAAAAAGUUAUUCUAUUCACUCUUGCACAUUUAGUUGUGUGUCCCAAUUCCAAAUUUUUGACUUUUCUAACCUAAUUUUGUAUUAGAUUGUGCAGAAAAAUAGGUACAAG